UGUUAAAAAUUUCGUCUAUUUCUACUAUUAAAAGUUAUCAUGGCUGAAAGAAUAAUCAAAUAGUGACAUGUGAUGUGUCAUGUGUACUUCAUAUUGACAUACAUGAAUUAAUUUUUAAGAGUAAAAAUGAAUGAAACUUUUAAUA
rfam:Gossypium hirsutum cultivar TM-1 chromosome 18, whole genome shotgun sequence